UUGUCUGCUGUUCCUCAAGGUGACCCCUGCUCUGUCCCUGCUGGGGGCUCUGUGCUGCUCUAAGCACUUCCCAAGGCAAGGCUUGGUGGCUGAGCUCUGUGAGUGCUGAGCUCUGCUCUAGCAGCCCUGCUUCAGCAUUUCUGUGCUCUUAGGGGAGGCUGCAGCAGUGUGCCAGGGAGCCUGCAGGGUAAUGAGCCCUGCAGGAUGGAUUCCUUGUCCAAAAACAUCUUUCCACUGACUGACCAGGAGUAAAGGUCUGGGGGGCACCUCAGUUGCCAUGAAACCUCUUGGAUUUUCCACAAAGGGCUUUUUCCCCACUGUGUGUGUGUGUUUGUGUUGAAGAUGAGAGGCAACAGGUCAUCCUUUCUUUUUUUCCCCCCUGGGAAUUCUGUGAAUUUAUUUCACUGGUUAAUUCUUUUAAUAGCUUGUUUUUCCUACAUGCAAGCCAUGACUUUUUGCUCCACAUUAACAUCCCACUGUAAGCUCCUGGAGGAGAUCUAAGUGGAGAGGAACUAAAAGCCCCAAAGGACCAAAAGCAGGCUCCAGAUGCCAGUGGGUGGAGGUGAUGUCACCCCAGAGCCUCCCCUGUGCUGCCCAGGCUGUGCAGCCAGGUCUGUCACUAACUCUGGGGACAGCAUGGGCUGGAGUCCCUCUCCUGGUGAAAGGAGGAGUUCUAGGGGAACCCAGGAGAGCCAGCUGUGUUUGGGAGGCUGUAUCCAGGGAACAGGCUUACCCACUGCUGGGGGAAGGGCAGUGCUGCU